rnacentral:rRNA from 1 species
AGCGAACGCUGGCGGCAGGCUUAAUACAUGCAAGUCGAGCGGGCGUAGCAAUACGUCAGCGGCAGACGGGUGAGUAACGCGUGGGAACGUGCCCUUUGGUUCGGAACAACACAGGGAAACUUGUGCUAAUACCGGAUAAGCCCUUACGGGGAAAGAUUUAUCGCCGAAGGAUCGGCCCGCGUCUGAUUAGCUAGUUGGUG